rnacentral:rRNA from 1 species
UACGUAGGGGGCAAGCGUUGUCCGGAUUUAUUGGGCGUAAAGAGCGUGUAGGCGGCUUGGUAAGUCCGCUGUGAAAGUCCAGGGCUCAACCCUGGAAUGCCGGUGGAAACUGUCAAGCUUGAGUCCGGAAGAGGCGAGUGGAAUUCCUGGUGUAGCGGUGAAAUGCGCAGAUAUCAGGAGGAACACCGGUGGCGAAGGCGGGUCUCUGGGCCGAUACUGACGCUGAGGAGCGAAAGCGUGGGGAGCGAACCGG